rnacentral:rRNA from 1 species
UACAGAGGUCUCAAGCGUUGUUCGGAUUCAUUGGGCGUAAAGGGUGCGUAGGCGGCGCGGUAAGUCGGGUGUGAAAUCUCGGGGCUUAACUCCGAAACUGCAUUCGAUACUGCCGUGCUUGAGGACUGGAGAGGAGACUGGAAUUUACGGUGUAGCGGUGAAAUGCGUAGAUAUCGUAAGGAAGACCAGUGGCGAAAGCGGCUUCCUGGACCAGUACCGACGUUCAGGCACGAAAGCGUGGGGAGCAAACAGG